ACCGCUGCUUUACCACUCAUCCGACAGGGCUUUAUUCUUUCUUUUUCUUUCUUCUCUACAACGCUGCCUACUUCUCUGCCCAAGGUCUCCAUCAGUCUUAUGUGUCCGAAACUUUCGGUGAAAUGCUUUUAUUCAAAAAAAAAUUCUUUUGGUCUCUCUCAAAGCCCGCCCAAACCCCCCGCGAACUCUCUCUCUCCUCUGCUCUCCCUCCCCGCCCCUCUUCUUUCACUUUCAGUGGCCACCGUGCAAUGUGCCUGUCGAGCGCACCCAGCCCAGACCUCCACUGGCGUGGGAACAAUGACACCGUCGAAUGUUUCAAAACCCCAAAUCUCAGAGAGAGACCCCUUUUCGUUUCCUUUCGUCCCCACCUCUCCGAGCGCCUUUGAAGGUGAGGAUACUUCUCUCUCCAUCUACUUCGCUUCUCUCUGUCUAACUCUCUCUCUGUCUUUCUAUCUGUCUCGAGUUUGGGGUAUUUGGUAGAAAUCACAGCAGGGUGCUGAUGCUGUCGUCGCCUCGCACAGCCCCUCCUCCCAAGCCUCCAGUUACUUCGAUUCCUUUCGCAUAAGUUUUUCCUUAAGGUGCUUGGUCAUUCACCCCCUUCAACAACUUUUCUUUUGGUGUCCCUCCUCUCAUUUGCGUUCCAUUGACAUAUAAUCUGAUAUGUGGACAGAUUCUCCUAACGCAAGUUGAAAUAACUUGAAUUUUUAUAUUGUCGCACCACUCAAAUUGAAAUAUUUAGACCGAAAUGAAAUAACUUUUGAACCCUCCUGUACUUGAUGUCUUGAUUGUAGUUUCCUCGGAAUGCUGUUGGCACAUUUACAAGUAAGAAAAGAAGAUGAAAUGUAAGAUAGGGAAGUGAGAUGAUACCGUGAAGGCAAUCAAAACAAAUAGAGGGAUCAAAUCUAUUUUUGCUGUGGCAGGUUAUAGAGGGAUUGGAGCUUGAGGAAAAGGUCUAGUUUGAAUCAUAACUAUCUUUUGAGUGGUCACUUAUGCUGCAACUUAGCUUAACAGAAAAGCAAAAAAUGAAGAACUAUAGGCUUAGUUUGCUUUUGGAUCAGUAAUUCCUCAUUGGGAAGUUAGAUUAUCAUCAGGCCUAGCCUAUACUUUGACAUUGCCAAUUACAUAUCUAUAAGUCAUGUUCAAUAUUGAUUCAUGGUCUUGGUUUUGAGGUUCAUUUCUAGGAUUUUCUCAUGUAUGCAGUCCUAUUGUGUAGAGUUUAUAAUUUUGGAAGGAGAUAAUCUUACCAAACUAUUCCUUGGAACAUCAUUGGAUUGGAUUGGGCUGGUUGAGGGAUCUCCUGCGUGAAGUUUUUAGUUUUCAGGUGUUGCAAACCAUUUCUGUAAGGCCUCCAUUGGGUUGCUGAGAUGCUGUAUAUGGCUGAAUUCUGAUGAUCUAUUUUACAGCUGGUGGACAACCGUGGUUUUGAUGUUUUGUACACUGGAGGAAAAGCCAAUUUGGUGCUAAAAGUAUGCACACAGGAGGAAACAAAAAAAUGAGACUACUUAGAUUAGAAUCUUGGAUUCUCUUGUAUUCUUGGAAUGAAUAUUAUGACUAAAGGUUGUAAUAAGCUGCUUUGUAAUGUUGUAUCCAAUUGGAAUGAAUAUUAUGACUCACUAUUUUACCAGAUGGCUUAAUCCAAGGAUUGUGUUAUUUGACGGCAGUGUGAAUGCAGUA